GUAAGGAAUAUUGGACAAUGGACGCAAGUCUGAUCCAGCCAUGCCGCGUGAAGGAUUAAGGUCCUCUGGAUUGUAAACUUCUUUUAUAAGGGACGAAAAAAGGCUUUUCUAAGUCGUCUGACGGUACCUUAUGAAUAAGCACCGGCUAACUCCGUGCCAGCAGCCGCGGUAAUACGGAGGGUGCAAGCGUUAUCCGGAUUCACUGGGUUUAAAGGGUGCGUAGGCGGGCAGGUAAUUCAGUGGUGAAAUCCUAGAGCUUAACUCUAGAACUGCCAUUGAUACUAUCUGUCUUGAAUAUUGUGGAGGUAAGCGGAAUAUGUCAUGUAGCGGUGAAAUGCUUAGAUAUGACAUAGAACACCUAUUGCGAAGGCAGCUUACUACGCAUAUAUUGACGCUGAGGCACGAAAGCGUGGGGAUCAAACAGGAUUAGAAACCCUAGUAGUCC
rnacentral:rRNA from 1 species